rnacentral:pre_miRNA from 1 species
AGUGGCAUAGUUGGGUCAAAAAUGGUGGUUUCAUUCAAGUUUUUUGAGGAAUCUCCACACUGUUUUACAAAGUGGUUGCCCCAAUUUGUAGUCCCACCAGCAAU